CCUACGGGUGGCUGCAGUAGGGAAUCUUCGGCAAUGGACGAAAGUUUGACCGAGCAACGCCGCGUGAGUGAAGAAGGUUUUCGGAUCGUAAAACUCUGUUGUUAGAGAAGAACAAGGAUGAGAGUAGAAUGUUCAUCCCUUGACGGUAUCUAACCAGAAAGCCACGGCUAACUACGUGCCAGCAGCCGCGGUAAUACGUAGGUGGCAAGCGUUGUCCGGAUUUAUUGGGCGUAAAGCGAGCGCAGGCGGUUUCUUAAGUCUGAUGUGAAAGCCCCCGGCUCAACCGGGGAGGGUCAUUGGAAACUGGGAAACUUGAGUGCAGAAGGGGAGAGUGGAAUUCCAUGUGUAGCGGUGAAAUGCGUAGAUAUAUGGGGGAACACCAGUGGCGAAGGCGGCUCUCUGGUCUGUAACUGACGCUGAGGCUCGAAAGCGUGGGGAGCAAACAGGAUUAGAUACCCCAGUAGUC
rnacentral:rRNA from 1 species